rnacentral:tRNA from 1 species
CGCGGGGUAGAGAAACGGUAUCUCGGGAGGCUCAUAAUCUCCAGAAGUGGGUUCGACUCCCGCCCCCGCUACAA